UAGGGAAUCUUCCGCAAUGGACGCAAGUCUGACGGAGCAACGCCGCGUGUGUGAAGAAGGAUUUCGGUUCGUAAAACUCUGUUGUUAGAGAAGAACAGCGCAUAGAGUAACUCUUAUGCGUGUGACGGUAUCUAACCAGAAAGCCACGGCUAACUACGUGCCAGCAGCCGCGGUAAUACGUAGGUGGCAAGCGUUAUCCGGAAUUAUUGGGCGUAAAGCGCGCGUAGGCGGUUUUUUAAGUCUGAUGUGAAAGCCCACGGCUCAACCGUGGAGGGUCAUUGGAAACUGGAAAACUUGAGUGCAGAAGAGGAAAGUGGAAUUCCAUGUGUAGCGGUGAAAUGCGCAGAGAUAUGGAGGAACACCAGUGGCGAAGGCGACUUUCUGGUAUGUAACUGACGCUGAUGUGCGAAAGCGUGGGAAUCAAACAGG
rnacentral:rRNA from 1 species